AUACGUAGGGGGCGAGCGUUGUCCGGAUUUAUUGGGCGUAAAGCGCGCGUAGGCGGUUUGCUCAGUCGGAUGUGAAAGCCCAGGGCUCAACCUUGGAACUGCAUACGAUACUGGCAAACUAGAGUGUGAGAGAGGAUAGUGGAAUUUCCGGUGUAGCGGUGAAAUGCGUAGAUAUCGGAAGGAACAUCAGUGGCGAAGGCGACUGUCUGGCUCAACACUGACGCUGAGGUGCGAAAGCGUGGGUAGCAAACAGGAUUAGAAACCCUAGUAGUCC
rnacentral:rRNA from 1 species